UACGUAGGGGGCAAGCGUUGUCCGGAAUCAUUGGGCGUAAAGAGCGUGUAGGCGGUUCGGUAAGUCGGCUGUGAAAGUCCAGGGCUCAACCCUGGGAUGCCGGUCGAUACUGCCGGACUAGAGUUCGGAAGAGGCGAGUGGAAUUCCCGGUGUAGCGGUGAAAUGCGCAGAUAUCGGGAGGAACACCUAUGGCGAAGGCAGCUCGCUGGGACGUUACUGACGCUGAGAACGCGGAAAGCGUGGGGAGCAAACAAGG
rnacentral:rRNA from 1 species